GCGGGAGAGGCAAAGACUGCUGAAGAGAUGAGUCUCUGGAGACAAGAAAGGACUUCAGGAGAGGAGUUUGGGAAAAACUUAUAAUCACAUCUUGGUGUUAAUGCAGCCUACGUCCUCAGGAAAUGCAUCCUCUGUGAGAGGAUAGGAGGCUGGAGCCAAGAGGUCCAGCGUUAUGAAGUGGCUGGUUACUUUGCUUUUAGAAGAUGGAUGAUGGCUAACGGAGAGGAAGGCUCAGCCAUUCCUGGAUUUGAGCCUGACUCUGCCACUUACUCGCAGUGUGCCCAUAGAAGCCCCUGCUCUGCCAAAGAAGCCUUCUUCCUCCUUGGGCCUGUGACUGUUUACCUGCUCUCAGAAAAGCAGGUGUCAGGAGGCAGCUGCUGGUUGUGGUCUGUUCUCCCCAGAUACCAGAGCGCCUGGCCUCCUCCACACUGGUGGCCAUUGGCUAACAGGAAGCCAAAACAGAGUCAUGCUCGCCACCCUCAGCCACCUAGCUGGCGAACAAAGAGAGCACAGGAAACACCUGGAGGAGCAGGCAGCUGGCAAGGGGACGCUCUGCCCAAGAGAAGAAAGAGUUCCUGACAGGAGCUGGCCGAGAGGAACUGGGGGAGGGGCUCUGACACUUAAUUGCCCUUCUCUUGGCUCCCAGCAGCUGCUGAGAACUGACAGCUGAGUUGUUCAAAUGUGCCCUCACUCCCACCCCCACUGUAAAGGAAUCAGCCCCCUCUAGCACCAGCUUCCUAGAGCCAAAGCAAGAACACUCAUAAAGGAGGCUCUGCAGAGGGCUUUGCCUCUGCUCCUCUCCUUCCUUCCACGGCCUCCUCACCCCCAGCCAGAGAAUCUGAUCGUCUUUGGACCAUGUAAAUUUAAACCCGUGGUCCAGGCGUGAAGACAGAAUCCUUAACCAAUGUCUCGGCCUGUGUUAUGUGAAAGCGUAUUCCAAAGAUGCGUCUCCUUUAUUUCCAAACUUAUUUAUCUAGAUCUUCAUCCAUAUCCGCCCACUGACUGUUUAUGAUUCCAAGUAGCUGUGGUUCAGGAUGGAACAGACUUCACCAGGAUGAUCAAAUGAAGCCCUACCAUCAGCAUCCACCCAAGAGCAUGUCUGCUAGCGUGUAGACCGUGUGCUGGGAACUAUGUGUGUAUGCAGCGGGGUUCAGCUCACAGGGCUCCCUCACCCCUUCUUAGGAAACUCCCAAAUAAGGCACUUUCCCUCUUAUGUCUGGAGUGAGAGGGUUGGAGCGGGGCAGAGAGGAGAGGGCACUUAUCCCACAGCCACUUGUGAGCAUAUCACGGUUUACUCAACCCAUAUCUUUUCAUUCAGCAGCCAGUGCACUCAGGCAGUAUACCCAGACUGCCUGUGCCAAGUUGUGUUGACAGCACAUGGGAGAAUAAAAAGAAACAGAAGACAAUGGUUCCUCCUAUGGGGGGGUGCAUGUGGUAACACAUGGAGAGGGGACUUGAGCUUGCAAAGCCACCAGACAUCAACCAAAAGUGAUACGUGAAAAUGUGCUGACUGUAUUUGUUAUAAAAGUG
rnacentral:lncRNA from 1 species